GCAGACAUUUGUGUUAAGACAAAAAUUAAAAGUGUAUACUGUCACCAUCAGAACAGAAGUGACUCCAUUUAUAACAGAAUACAGAAACAGACACAUUUUUACUUCUCUCUGUAACUCUAUUCAUUCAAGCCUGAAGCUAAGGAAUGCAACUUACAUAAACAUUAGAGAUAAAACCUGAGAUAAGACAUGAUGUCUACAGCAAAAGGGGGUUGAAG